GUCUAUGGCCACACCACUCUGAACACACCCGAUCUCAUCUGAUCUCAGAAGAAAAUAUGAAUAAUAGCUUUUCUAUUGAUA
rnacentral:rRNA from 1 species